rfam:Aedes albopictus isolate Foshan contig131664, whole genome shotgun sequence.
UAGCCUACUGGUUAAGGCUUUGAAUCGCCAAUUCGGAGACGGCGGGUUCGAUUCCCGU